rnacentral:rRNA from 1 species
AUGGUGAAGGAGAAGGGGAAUGAGAAGGGAAAGGGUGCUGGUAAGGAGAAUGCGAAGGCGAAGGCAAAGGAGAAAAGCGUGAAUUACCUAAUUAGGCAAGAUUCGGCGUUGCCUCCGCCGGUUCCGAGGAAGAAGAGGAAGCCUAAGGUGCAGAUUAGGAAGGAGAAAGACUUUCCCAAUGCCCCAAUGGGAGAGUUGAUUUGUAGGUUAAAAAAACACCCUCCACCUCCGAGGCGUCUUCCCGACCGUACCGGUGCCGGCGUGCGUGCCGCGGAAGCCGCUGCCUCUACUAUUGUAAGAUUGCUUUACUUGAUGCUUGAUGUAGCCAUAUUUCCAUAUAACCAUAUAGGUGAUGCUUCAUGCUUUUUUGUGUGCUCAUGUGUGUUAGGUGGUAGAUGA